ACGUUGAAACACAGGUUCUCGUAUGAUCAGCGAAGUUAAGCAACAUUGAGCCUGGUCAGUACCUAGAUGGAUGACUGCAUGGGUAUACAAAGUGCUGUAA